CUGCAGUGAUGAUUAAAACAUCACCAUCUUUCGACUGAUGCUCAUGAUGGAUGUUCUUUAUUCUGACUG
rfam:Xenopus laevis strain J chromosome 9_10L, whole genome shotgun sequence.